AUUUAAUACUUACAAUAAUCCUAUAUAUACUAGAAAUAUGGUCUAGUGUCUCUACAAUUAACCUUAAAUUAAAUACUAUAGGUCUUAAUUUAUUUUUA
rfam:Spiroplasma melliferum KC3 contig1, whole genome shotgun sequence.